rnacentral:rRNA from 1 species
UGUAUAUUUAAUCAAAAGUAUGCUUUCGGGCAUAUGCUUUGGGAUGUGCUCGCGUACCAUUAGCUAGUUGGUAGGGUAAAGGCCUACCAAGGCAGUGAUGGUUAGCCGGCCUGAGAGGGUGAUCGGCCACACUGGGACUGAGAUACGGCCCAGACUCCUACAGGAGGCAGCAGUAGGGAAUCUUGCGCAAUGGGCGAAAGCCUAACGCAGCGACGCCGCGUGGAUGACGAAGCUCCUUGGAGUGUAAAAUCCUUUCAGUGGGGACGAACAGCGACGGCAGGAAAUGGCCGUCGCCUGACUGUACCCGCAGAAGAAGUCCCGACUAACUCCGUGCCAGCAGCCGCGGUAACACGGGGGGGACAAGCGUUGUUCGGAUUCACUGGGCGUAAAGAGCACGUAGGCGGAAGGGAAAGUCAGAUGUGAAAACCCGGGGCUUAACCGCGGGCCUGCAUUUGAUACUGCUUUUCUUGAGUACCGGAGAGGAUGGCAGAAUUCCUGGUGUAGCGGUGAAAUGCGUAGAUAUCAGGAAGAAUACCGGUGGCGAAGGCGACCAUCUGGACGGAUACUGACGCUGAGGUGCGAAGGCCGGGGGAGCAAACAGGAUUAGAUACCCUGGUAGUCCCGGCAGUAAACGAUGGGUACUAGGUGUUGGGGGCAUCGACCCCCUCAGUGCCGCAGUUAACGCAUUAAGUACCCCGCCUGGGGAGUACGGCCGCAAGGUUGAAACUCAAAGGAAUUGACGGGGGCCCGCACAAGCGGUGGAGUAUGUGGUUUAAUUCGACGCAACGCGAAGAACCUUACCUGGGUUUGACAUGCUUGGGAAAGCCACAGAGAUGUGGCCCCCUCUUCGGAGGUCCUUGCACAGGUGCUGCAUGGCUGUCGUCAGCUCGUGCCGUGAGGUGUUGGGUUAAGUCCCGCAACGAGCGCAACCCUUGUCCUUAGUUGCCAUUCGAUUCUUCGAGGAACUCUAAGGAGACUGCCGGCGACAUGCUGGAGGAAGGUGGGGAUGAUGUCAAGUCAUCAUGGCCCUUACGUCCAGGGCUACACACGUACUACAAUGGCCGGUACAAUAGGCUGCAAGACCGCGAGGUGGAGCUAAUCCUUGAAAACCGGCCUCAGUUCAGAUUGGAGUCUGCAACUCGACUCCAUGAAGGUGGAAUCGCUAGUAAUCGCGCAUCAGCAUGGCGCGGUGAAUACGUUCCCGGGCCUUGUACAC